rnacentral:lncRNA from 1 species
UCAGUUAACACUCUUAACCUGUACAUUGGAAAUCAAAAGAGAAAUAAUCACCUGCAGAAACGAGUAAAAUCCUAGCCAAGCCUCUGUCAAGCCCUGCAAAUGCAUGCGUAUUCCCUUGAGGAAAUAGGCAAAGGUGUAGAAGCCCCAAUCAUACUCUUUAAUAUGGUCCACCUCACGUGUGGCGCUAACUAAAGCGAACGAC